GGCUGACUCUCUUUUCGGACUCAGCCCGCCUGCACCCAGGUGAAAUAAACAGCCUUGUUGCUCACACAAAGCCUGUUUGGUGGUCUCUUCACACAAACGCGCAUGAAAUUUGGUGCCAUGACUCGGAUCGGGGUACCUCCCUUGGGAGAUCAAUCCCCAGUCCUCCUGCUCUUUGCUCCGUGAGAAAGAUCUACCUAGGACCUCAGGUCCUCAGACUGACCAGCCCAAGGAACAUCUCACCAAUUUCAAAUCUGGAACGCGCAUGAAAAAACCAAACAAACAAAAAAAUUUCUUUUGGUAGCAGAAUAAAAAAACAAAAAAAAGGACUUUUUCUUCUGGACUGAACUAUAUUUAAAUCUCAAAGGAUGGACAUCUCACAACCUUCCUACAGCAAGUACUGUGAGAGCUGCAUCUUGUCCCACUGGAUGGUCUUCAGAGACAAUAAUACAUAAUGGAGCUGUCAUCUCCUAUGAUAACAAUGCCUUCUUCUGGAUACCUCCUGAAGGACCUGCCUGAGGCUCUUUCACUCCAUGUAAAGGUGUGCUGCUUUCCCUUUGCCUUCCGCCAUUAUUGAAAGUUUCCUGAGGCCUCCCCAGCCAUGCUACCUGUACGACCUGUGAAACCAUAAGCCAAGUGCUGCUCACUUUCUACCACCUGUCAGCUACUUCUUCACUGUCAUUGACACCUAGAGUGCUUCCUCUAAGGUACCCUCUCGGGUGGUACAGCAGCACCAAGUAAUGUCUCCAACAUUACUACACAAACUACAGUUGCUGUGUAAAUAAACUUGUGCUUCGAUAGAGAGGAAAUCUGUCUAUUUCUCUGUAACUGUUAGGGAAGAUAUGGUUCAGUUGGAAUAGCCUCUCACAAAAUACUCUAGACAAUGGCAUUAAUAAUACUGUAAGUCUGGAACAGAAGGGAUUACUGAGUAUCAAUCAGCACUACUUUUCAAAUUAAUUUAAAAUGUGUAUAUUAUGCAUCCGAACAUUAUGCAUCCUAACAUUAGGAACUCUGUCGGGAAAGCUUAUGGAACCUUGGAUGUUACAUAGCGGGCUUUGCUAUUCAGGCCUGAGCAUCUAGGUCUAGCCUAAAAAUCAUAUGUUAACUGAUUGUGUUUUUUUAAAGUGUCACUUGAUCUUUUAGAACCUCACAUUUUUUAAACAGAAAAAUGAAAUAUUGAUGACUGGGGAUCAAUUCUUCAUAGGUCUCUCAUGUUUUUUCACAUCUUGUGAGCUGAUACUGACAGCCUUUGUUCCAGACUAUCUAUUCAAUUAUGUUUGUAUAGUGAACAGCCUUGGAAAAUAGAAAUAGCGUCUCCCUCCAGAGCAACGGUCAGGCAUGCUUCUUGCCCAUUAAUAGCUUUUGGGUUCCCUAAGCUCAGGAUUUCAUUUUGAUAGUGCAACCUACUGUGUGAACAGAUAUCAUCUGGCCCUUUUCAUGUUACUCUGUGGGAACUGGGGCUCAGUGAACUGUCACAAGAUAAUAUUGAUGCUCCAGCUAUUGAUAUUACUGUGAGUAUUGAAAUCCUUUGUCUCUGACCCAGGAGACUUCUUGUCUUUUGCCAGCAUCCAUGAAACUGCAGCAGGCUAACUAGUUAGAUUGCAAGAAUUGUAAAUUCCCAGACCCUUCACAUUUCUUGACAUUGAUAUGUAUAGUCUUCAUAAACUCUUGCAAAGAUUUAUUUGCCCCCAUCAUUCAAAUCCCCAAAACUGUACUGUCUAACUCCAUCUUCAGCUCAAAUAAACACCAGGCUAAAUCCUGACGUUUGCUGGAUAAUUUAAUUAGCUCUUUCCCAGUAACUCUGCAUCAUUGACCUUCCAACUGCCCUGCUCUGAAAACAUGUGCCACAGUUCUAACUAGGAACAGCUUAAGACCUUUAGAAAACUUGAGUAGUGAAAAGAUUAUCGUGCCCUCCACAUGUGUAAUUCAAAACAAAAAUAGUAAUAAACAGCAAAGGAAGUUUAAGGAAGUCCAGUGAAUUCUGAUUAUCUGCAUGAUGACCAUUCAGCCACUGUUGUUCUUAUAGCAGCAAAUAUUAAAAUUUUUGUUUCUCAGUCAUUUUCUACACCCAAACUUGUGAUGAGUCUGUCUAUAGAAUAACCCAGCAGUACUGAUUUGAAAACUAAAUCCCAGAUCUGAGCUCUUAUCUACUCUCUUCUUGCAUAUAUGUAUGUUGUCCCUUCUCCCCAACUCCCUGCCUCUAUUCUUUGUCUCUGCCAAGUCAAGCUGCCUUUCUUCUGCUGAAUUAACCUGAUAUCAAUAGCUUACCUGUCACCACUUGUCAGAAUUUCCUCCCACUGCCCAUCUUGAUUCAUACUGUCCCACUGCCUCAGUGAUUCUGAACUCACUGUCUGACACAACCCACAUUUCUUUGAGAUUCUGCAUGAUUCAAAGUUCAUCUAGGAAAGAGGUUCAUAUCAGAAACCCCAUUUUCAGCAGCAACUCAGGUCAUGCUCACUUCUAAUUAUACUGUUAAAUGAGUGUCCUUUGGUAUUUAAUUUUGUAUUAUCAGAGGUUUAUUGAAAAAUAGAAGGCAUUUAUGCAAAAACAUUUCAGGAGUUUUUAGUAUUUUUUCAUCAGUCAGAAGACAAUCCUAUAAUUAUCGUCAUCAUGAUAUUUAUUUUAAAAAGGGUAAGAAAAUAACAGUAAACUCGAAUGCCUUUAAGGGUUUAAGAUAGAUAUGUAAUUUCUUAAUACAACAGCAUGUGAGAUGGGAAAGAAGGAUGAAGGAUAUCUCUCAUUUGUAAAUGUCUAACAAGCAUUGGAAAGUUGUGAGAAAAAGACAGAUUCAAAUUACAUGAAAUAGUGAAGUUAACUGAUUCAUACAUAUUUUUAGGUGAAUGAGAAUUUGUUGAAAGAAUGAAUUAACACUUCACAUAUAUUAUGGCACACAUUCAGGAAUCGCCCC
rnacentral:lncRNA from 1 species